rnacentral:tRNA from 1 species
UUGAAAUAUGGGAAUUGAGCUCUAGACCUCACGCAUCUGAGGCGAGCGCUGUACCCCUGAGCUUUACCCCU